GAGAGGUGGGGGGGCAGGCAAGACUUUUUUAAAGGUCAAUAGACCUGAGUGAUGUGCAGGAGGUUUUAGAGAAGAAAAAAUGUAAAAAUGGUAAGCCGUAUACUAUAAAUGACCUCCACUGUUUUCAAGAAAUGCAAGCAAGCCUCUUCUUUGACUUGACUGGUAAUUUCCCGACCCCGUCUGUUUCGUAUUCUCCACAUGGCCAUGGUCUUCUUUUGUCUGGGAUUAUUUCUGCACUGUGAGCACAAGCAUUUGUUUGAUGUCCCAGACAUCAAAUAUACUGUAUACUCUCCGAGUGGCCAAAGGAAGCAGGAUUCUCCCUUUUGAAAACUCCACCGGCGAGAGUAACAAAAGGCAGUCUGCACUGCAGACACAAAGGAGGGGAAGAGAGAGGAAAGGAUGGGACCGGUCAGGGGUGAUUUCCGUCCUCCCCCUGCCAGCAACACACACCGCGGGGGGGACAGAGGCAAGGCUCGCCCGGGGCUGUGCUGCGAGGACAUGUAACAGCAGUAAACCGCCUGCGAGCCAGAAAGGAAAUCGAUACAGCCGCGAAGGGGUGGCCCGCCUCUGUCCAUGGGCUUCUAGUUCGUGCUGGCUGAGGGGGAGACCUUCUUGGGACAGAAACGCCUCCUGUGUCCACGCCUCCACCUUUGGACUGAUCUUCGGCAUAGGUUUCUUGCUAAAUUUUUGCAUUCUGUGAACUGCCUUCUGUCUUUUCCAAGUUCGCUGCAUAGAUAGACAGUUAGAUAACAGACCCGCAGAGAGAAAGUAGGGAAGGAAAUCCUAAGUGUUGUACGCACAGGACCUGCCAAGUAUAACCGACUUACCUGGCACCUGGCCGGUAUGCAGGAGGCGCUCUGUUCCCCCUUGGCGGCUUCGGCCCUCAUCCUCUGUUCACUCCGCCCUGACACGCCGCCACGGAUGAGUGCGCAAAUGGUAGCCGAAUGUCCAAAUCCCUGUCGAGAUGCAACUCGGUUGGAUCAGUUGCUGCUCUGCCAACAUUCCAGUGCAUUUACGUGGAAGCGUGUCGAAGCUUCUGGUAAAAAGCAUGCGGGGUUCAUUCAUGUUCCUCAUUUCUGAAGGUGACAUAACUGAAAGAACACUCCUGAGAAUACUUAGGUCAAGAACAUUUGGGGCUUACCUACUAGGCUCCCGGUGUAUAAAAUUAUGAGGACUGCCCAUGAAUUGUAAGUAUAAGGCGAGGAAACGGUUUUCACAAGCCACGCAGUUAUUGCCGUCAUUGUAGAAGGGCGAGCUGGGGAGUUUGUUCUUUCAGAAAAAAAUAACUGUCAAAUGUAGACACUUAGACGACACCCAUAUAACUUCAUAGUCAAAAGCUUUUAAGGCACACCUGUCUUCAAAAGGCUUAUUUGUUUGUUA